CCUACGGGAGGCAGCAGUGAGGAAUAUUGGUCAAUGGCCGGAAGGCUGAACCAGCCAAGCCGCGUGAAGGACGAAGGUGCCAAGCAUUGUAAACUUCUUUUGUCAAGGGACAAAAUCAGGCUCGAGAGCCUGACCGCGGGUACUUGAAGCACAAGCAUCGGCAAACUCCGUGCCAGCAGCCGCGGUAAUACGGAGGAGGCGAGCGUUAUCCGGAUUUAUUGGGGUUAAAGGGUGCGUAGGCGGGCUGUUAAGUCAGUGGUAAAAGCCCGGGGCUCAACCCCGGCGAGCCGUUGAAACUGGCUGUCUUGAGAUGUCGAGAGGUAUGCGGAAUGCGCAGUGUAGCGGUGAAAUGCGUAGAGAUUGCGAAGAAUGCCGAUUGCGAAGGCAGCAUACCGGAGGCGAUCUGACGCUGAGGCACGAAAGCGUGGGUAGCGAACAGGAUUAGAUACCCGGGUAGUC
rnacentral:rRNA from 1 species